UACGUAGGGUGCGAGCGUUAAUCGGAAUUACUGGGCGUAAAGCGUGCGCAGGCGGUUCGUUGUGUCGGCGGGGAGAGCCCCGGGCUUAACCUGGGAAUGGCCGUUGAAACUGGCGAACUGGAGUGUGGCAGAGGGGGGUGGAAUUCCGCGUGUAGCAGUGAAAUGCGUAGAGAUGCGGAGGAACACCGAUGGCGAAGGCAGCCCCCUGGGCUGACACUGACGCUCAGGCACGAAAGCGUGGGGAGCAAACAGG
rnacentral:rRNA from 1 species